CCACUGUAACAAUUACAGUAAAAACAAUGAUUAUUUUUUAUCUAAAACACAAGUUGAUGAACAGAAGUAUUUUAUAUGGAAAAAUGGCAAUCCAAAAUUAAAUAAACUUGGAUUGAACAGGGAAAAGGAAGAGAACAUACUCUGUGGCAGCUGUUGUGUGUGGCUGAGAGGACCCAGAGGCAGCUUCAUCGAGUAGCUACAAUUGAACAAAAGAAAAAACACAAACAAUAAGAUACUGUGCAAGUGAUUACUACUAUUAUUACAUAUGGCGCACGUGAUAAUGGUAUAAGCCAAUGAGAAAGAACAGAUAUGCAAUUAAGAAUUGUACUUACAUCGCGAGAAAGAGCGGCUAAUGAGGAGGACGUAGCAACGAGUCCAAUAUCACGUGGAUCCAAUCCUAAAGCUGCUCCUAAUUUCAAUGAGUAGAUGCCUGUCAGUCGACGUAACGAUUGUAGUUUUAAUCGAAGUUCUUGUAGUCGAGCUCUCACUCCUCCCUGUUCAUUUAGUAGUUGAUUGGCAGAUUCUUGGAGAGAUAAAACACGCGGUUCACAGCGCUCAAGGUCACUUCGUAAUUCCCUUAAAAAAUAU